UGAACUUUGAGAAGACUUGGGUCAGUUCUUUGGGUCAGCAAGAGAUUUGCUUUGCCUGAUGCACAGUUAAAAUGGAUGAGAUGUGGUCUGACACUGCAGCUCCUGAAAGGUGAAGCCUGAAAAGUUUCUGAAAGGUUUUUGGCAGGGAGCCACACGGGCUGAAACUCCACAAGGAACAGAAAUGUGAAGCCCAGUAAGAGGUGAGCUCCAAACCAGGGAGCCCUCAGGUCAGAUACCCAGGUGUUCCUGCAGGGCAUCCUGCUGAGAUCCUGAUAAAUGGCACAGCAGAGCCCCACCUUGGGCUGCACCCCUGGAACUCAUCACAGCUUCAAGGAAUUGUGAAGGGGCUGAAGAAAAGCCAGGAGAGCUCUGCUAAAACAUGAAAUAAACGUGAAUUCUUUGCUGCCAAGUGAAUUAAACCCGCCCUUCGUGGCUUCAAUUUUCCAUUCAUUUUCUGUUCCUUCACAUCCAAACCAUUCAUUUUACACCCAAAACCUGAACCAUUAUCAGUUCAUUGUAAAGCUUUCCUUGAGAGCAGUUAAAAUCCAGGAUUUCCCUAAUUUAAGGGCCAAUAAACCUUUCCUCUCUGCAAGUAUUUUAGGGAGUCUCAAGCACUGCUUACACUUCAUCCUCUGGAUGUUUAAUCUAUACUCUUUUAAAGCCAAUAUUUUUUUAAAA